rnacentral:rRNA from 1 species
GAUUCUGGCUCAGGAUGAACGCUAGCGACAGGCCUAACACAUGCAAGUCGAGGGGCAGCGCGGGAGAAGCUUGCUUUCCUGGCGGCGACCGGCGCACGGGUGCGUAACAGGUGUGCAAUCUGUCCAUAGUCGGGGGAUAGCCCAGCGAAAGCUGAAUUAAUACUCCAUGUGAAUCGAAGCCGCAUGACUUUGAUUUGAAACGCAAGGACUAUGGGUGAGCACGCUUCUGAUUAGGUAGUUGGUGGGGUAACGGCCCACCAAGCCGACGAUCAGUAGGGGUUCUGAGAGGAAGGUCCCCCACAUUGGAACUGAGACACGGUCCAAACUCCUACGGGAGGCAGCAGUGAGGAAUAUUGGUCAAUGGGCGAGAGCCUGAACCAGCCAAGUCGCGUGAAGGAUGAAGGUUCUAUGGAUUGUAAACUUCUUUUGUCCGAGGGUAAAAAAGGCCACGUGUGGCUUCUUGCAAGUAUCGGACGAAUAAGCAUCGGCUAACUCCGUGCCAGCCGCCGC